CAUAAAUUAACUUCUGUUUUUACUGGACUCUGUCAGACAGCUGUCAAACCUUAACAAAACGAGGGACCAUGAUGAUUUCUUCCGCGUGAAGCUUACAAUUGUUAGGGUUGAAAGACCUACCCGCUUCAGAGGAAGUUGAUGUCUCCCUCCCCUCCUUCUCCUCUCCUGCCCUCAGCAUUAGCGAUUACGCAGGUUAUUUUACUAGAUAGAUUUCUGACAACCUGGUCUUCAAGCAGCACGCUUUACAAUACUGCAGAUAGAGCUGGAUUUGGGGAGGUUCUGUAGAAAUCCCAAGGUUAACAUUGUGGUUUUGGUUAGAGCUGUUCUCACAUCAUUGAAAUAUUAAAAGAUAGUUCCAUGACAGCAGGAUCAGUGACCCAUUAUUACAGAAGAAAGAAUUCCGAAGGUCUUAUCGGUUAAUAGACAUCAAUAUUUUCACAUCAGCUGAGUACUUGCUUACAGAAUCUGAAAGAUAACAUCAGAAAUAAAAAUCUACGUGAACUACAAUGGUGAGGAGCACAGCCACUUGAAGCCACUGGUGCUGGCCCACCCCCAUCCAGGCCUCCCAGCCACAAGUGGCCCAGAAAGGAGUGGAGCUGUUCAGGGGCCUGCAGCACCACCUCAGUGUGCCCCCACCCCCACCUCUGGC
ensembl:lncRNA